rnacentral:rRNA from 1 species
CAACGAGUCGCAAGCUCGCGAGAGUAAGCUAAUCUCUUAAAGCCGUUCUCAGUUCGGACUGUAGGCUGCAACUCGCCUACACGAAGUCGGAAUCGCUAGUAAUCGCGGAUCAGCAUGCCGCGGUGAAUACGUUCCCGGGCCUUGUACACACCGCCCGUCACACCGUGGGAGUUUGUAACGCCCAAAGUCGGUGGCCUAACCUUUAUGGAGGGAGCCGCCUAAGGCGGGACAGAUGACUGGGGUGAAGUCGUAACAAGGUAAC